UCGUUAUCACACCUGUUUGGACAAACUAUGAUACCCAAAAUGAGGCUGGGAAAUGGAUCGUGACUGCCUGCAUAUGAAUGUGAACUAGGAAAGCAAAGUUCAGGAUACCUUCAUGGAUGCAAAGAUCUUGAUGCUCAUCUUAGUUAUAUCUAGGAAUGGCUACUUUGUUUUUAAAGACAUUUGGUAAUAAGGCCCUAAGCCACAUUCAAAGACUCCUAUUACAGUGUCAUGCUUGUGUCAGUGAACUGAACUCAUCAAUCAUUAUAGCAUCCAGGCUCUUGUAUGUGGGCCCAAUCAAAGGGCACCUUCUCUGCCGUUUAAGCAGGAUCCAGGUGGAGUGAUUCAUACUGUUCUGCUCUUCU